UUAAAAAUUGCUGUGCUGUCAGAAAAAGUGCUGGUAAAAUAAGUGCUGUUGUAGAAAUCAGAUAACUGUUUGGUAAUUUUUUGAUAUUUACUUAUUUUGAGUUAUAAUAUAAUUAAUAAUAAUGUUUUUGGUGAUGUUUUAUAAUGAAAUCUAUAAUAGCAUUCUGCAAAGCUGAAAAGCAGCUUUUUCCAAAAGCAUGAGAGGACCUGCUUUUUCUAACAGCAGCUUUUCAGCCAAAAACUGCUGUUCGGAAAAGCUGCUUUUCGAUUUACCAAACAGUUUUUCACCUGCUUUUCAGCAAAAAGCUGUUGUUGCUGUCUGCAAC
rnacentral:lncRNA from 1 species